CAGCCACCUCUGAGUGCGGUCCAGCCCUGUGCCAUUGGAGGCGAAUCUUCAGGUUGCUGGAUUUGAAACUUACACAAACACUCACUGUAUUAUUGCAGAAGAGAGAGAGAAUGGAGAGAGAAAGGAAGAGGAAGAGGACAAGAAGAGGAAAGAGAGGAGGAAAGGAAGAGGUGUUCACAUGAGGGGCACUUUGCAAGCAUAAAGGGGAUUGACAAAGUGACAUUUUUAUUCAUGUGCACCUAACAAGACGGAAACCAGAGGAAGCAGAAUGAGAAGUGUGGUUAGGCACCAACUUUCUUCAUGUUUAUCAGGGGCCGAAGAGGUGGAUGGGAAAGAAAGGAUCGAUGCAUCAGAGCACAGGAUUAAUGCAACGUAUUAAGUGCAACCCUGUAAUCUAAGUGCAGCCCUAUCUGCCUCUCCAGUAACAGCAACCACACACAUUUCCUAGGAGCCAGGAACAGUAACAGCACACAAAAAUUCCAACCAGGAUUAAACUGGAGGUGAAGUCACUGCUGCCCCAUGAUGCCUCACUUCUGAGCUGUCACUGCACACCUCUUUACUGACUCCAACAUGCCAAUUAAAAAGCCUGGCUUGCAGCGGGACAAUAGGCUAGAACGUGGGUUUCAUUCUUUUCCAUCUGAACAAAAGCAAUGUCUUUGCUCCUCGAGCUCCAGGGACUGUGAGGCAGGGGAGCCCUUUUGAAUGGUCCCUGCCACCACACACUUCCCAACUAUCGACACCGGCUAGAUAGGUAACAAAAGGGGAGUCAAAGGUAAUGAAUCAGAAUUUGCAGAGUUUAGCUGCUAUGGGUGUGGGAGGGCCCCCAGAGAACGGCCAACGGACCCGAUCCAUUUGUAUCACUUGUUAACCAAAAUUGUCAGUGACUUUGGAACAAUUAUUGCCUUCCUGAAACCAAAACCUGCACAGCACAAUAACUCUUGAGCCUCCCUUCUCUGCAUUAAUAAUCAUGUUCAUGGUGCUUUACUUAGCAGGUUACAAUGUUGGCUUACUCUCAGGCUCUCUGCAGUGAACAAAUUAAAGAGGCUUGCUCUGUUCCAUGAAAAUACUCCAGCUCAGCCUAUUCAUUUUCCUAAAUGCUUCUCCACUUCAAAUUGGCAUUCCAGCCAUGUGGCAUAUAUUUUUUAAAAGCCAUCGCAUGGGUCAAUAAUGUUAAACCCUUACCCAUGACAAUAAUUUACUCUCAUCGACUGUGUACAUACACAGAGAAGAAAUACACACAUAGUGUGUGUGCUCAUACUCUGAUCCCUUUGGUGUCUCUCAGCAUUGUGGACUCUCUCUUCCUAUUGUGUUUCAGUCUUUUUUUUAACUGGCGGUCUCUUUCUCCUGCAAAGAGAGAUUACAAAUACAAUCCUAGAAUUGUAAAUAGAACGGUGGCUGCCUUUUGUUCGGCUUCCUGUCCAAGUUGUUACAACCUUUGUCAUGGUAAUGAGCCAUCAGAAUUUCAUAGCCUGAAUACCCUCUCCACUCUUCCAGUUUAUUGUGUGCCUAAAUUUGGAUGAGUUUAUGGUCUCCGUCAGUGCUGCCCGUGGAUAAAGACAGCUGGAAAAGUUGACCCGCUUUAAGACGACCAAAGGUUCUUCAUGGAAGUAAAAGGUUUACUGGCAACACAGGAA
rnacentral:lncRNA from 10 species